AGAGUUUGAUCAUGGCUCAGGAUGAACGCUAGCGGCAGGCUUAAUACAUGCAAGUCGAGGGGCAGCACGGGUAGCAAUACUGGGUGGCGACCGGCAAACGGGUGCGGAACACGUACGCAACCUUCCCGAAACAGGUGAAUAGCCCUCCGAAAGGAGGAUUAAUACACCGUGAGAUAUUGGUGUGGCAUCACACUGAUAUUAUAGGUAGCAAUACCGGUUUUGGAUGGGCGUGCGCCUGAUUAGGUAGUUGGUGCGGGUAACGGCCCACCAAGCCUCCGAUCAGUAACUGGUGUGAGAGCACGACCAGUCACACGGGCACUGAGACACGGGCCCGACUCCUACGGGAGGCAGCAGUAAGGAAUAUUGGUCAAUGGACGGAAGUCUGAACCAGCCAUGCCGCGUGAAGGAUGACUGCCCUCUGGGUUGUAAACUUCUUUUAUCUGGGACGAAAAAAGGGCUUUUUAGCUCACUUGACGGUACCAGAGGAAUAAGCACCGGCUAACUCCGUGCCAGCAGCCGCGGUAAUACGGAGGGUGCAAGCGUUAUCCGGAUUUACUGGGUUUAAAGGGUGCGUAGGUGGGCGAGAAAGUCAGUGGUGAAAUCUCCGGGCUUAACCCGGAAACUGCCAUUGAUACUAUUUGUCUUGAAUACUUUGGAGGUAAGCGGAAUAUGUCAUGUAGCGGUGAAAUGCUUAGAUAUGACAUAGAACACCAAUUGCGCAGGCAGCUUACUACACAGUAAUUGACACUGAGGCACGAAAGCGUGGGGAUCAAACAGGAUUAGAUACCCUAGUAGUCC
rnacentral:rRNA from 1 species